CUUUUUCGUCUCUUCGGUCGUCAGCCUUCGGACGAGUGGCUAGAGACGAAACGAAACGGAACGAAAGUGAAUACAUAUGUAUAUAAAUGUACAGGGAUUCUCUACGGGACUGAUUAAUCGUUUCGAAUCGUCCACUGGUUCUCCCUCCAACUCGGGCUUCCGUACGAAACCUUUCUCUUUAUUUAAUCUGAAGGAAUCGUCCGUCGCUUGAUGGACAAGUGUGAACAGAGGCGCGAGAGUCGAGCCGAGUCGAUUCGCGAUGGGUCGAUUCCAUUCGAUACUAAUCGAGUCAAAGUCCAUCCCGCCGCUAGUGUCGCCGGAUGGGCCGAUCGUUGGAUGGCCGAGGCGCCACGGCGCCGACCGCGUAGAAGGGUUUUCUUGUAGCCCGGUCGUAGCCCGCUCGUAGCAAACCGACUCACACUCUCGCACGCUCCCGUCUCGGCAUCCAUCUCUUUUCAUUCCUUCUAGUCGCGUCGGCCACUUUGUUCUUCCGAUAUUCGCGGCCACGGGAUUCCUAUUCGAUCAACCGUAUUCAUCAUUUCCGCCUUAGUUUUCUCCCAAAGUACGCCCUUCUUUCUCUCUUUCUAUUAUUCCUACAGUAUUAUGUGUAUUCUCCUCUAUUACUCAUACAUUUAAGCGAUAAGCUGUGGGAUAUAAAGAAACGAGGAGACGAGAGGUAUAUCUGCACGUGUGUGUCGACAAUUAACGAUCGGUGUCAAGUUUCAGUCGGUACGCUCGAAGCUUCCAUUUCCAACGGUUGGUGGGGAUAAUGACGGACGUUGAAGCGAGCAAUACCGUAUUACAAUCUCUCCUAUUUUUCUUUCUCGGUUUUCUGGAUGAUCACUUUACUCCUCCAACUUUUCUACGGUGAGAAUAAACUAACUAAUCGAUCUCUCGCCGUUAUUUGAAUCGUCAUCGAUUAUUAUUCAAGCAUCUAAUUUAAGGUCUUUCACCAAAGAGCGGAAGGAACGAUCCAGUGUGAACGGCCCUUUCGGUAACCCGAUACCGAAGAUGCAAACUCGAGAUAAGAUUCCUCGGAAAUUGCGCUCCAGUCCAGUUUCGGCACGCGCCUCUCUCAUCUCCCCGUCCUUCCACGGCGUGGUUCCAUUGACAGGCACGCGAGCUUAUCUGCACUUUGGAAUCUCUACGAGAUUCACUACGCUUCCGACUUCUUUUCUUCCUCACUCUUUCGCGAUCAUCAAACGUAACGUCGCUAUAAGUCUCGAUGUGGGAACGCGAUCAAUUAUUUUAACGCACAGGUUAUGUUAUAUAACGGUUGUUGGCGUAAAUACUGGCGUAAAUAAUAACGCGUAAAUUCAUUUAUUCGUUUACGAGUGCUUACUUCGUCGACGAGCGUGACGCCGAGGCUAGAAAAAAAAAUGUUACGGCGAGGAAGAUGAUAUUUGAAGGAAGAAGAAGGAAGGAAGAGACAAGGUGUCGGUGUCUGUGCGUGUUGAAAGCGUGUGCGUCAGUGAGAAGGAGUGAUGAGACAAACGGACCUGAAAAAUCGAAGAAAGGAAAAAGAAGGAUGGAUACGUACCUGACUGUGAGAAUUUUUUGCUAUCUGAUCUUUAAAUUUCCUCUGUUUCUAUGGAAAAAUUGAAAUAAAUGUUGUGAAACAGCAGAAGGAAUAGUAAUGUAAUUAAGUGGUUUGUUAUAAUUUAUCAUCGCGUUUCAGUGAAAAUUAUUUCCAUAAGUAUGAAGAAUAUUUUUUAAAAACAUUACGAGAAUUUAUUUUAUUUUUAUUAAUGAAAGAGUUUAAGAAGCUUCGUUGGAAAGGAGCUAGUGCAAUCAAUUUUCUAUCGAUCGAUCUUCUCUUCCUUGGGAAUGGGAAUGAUGAUUCGAGAUAAAUAAAAAUCGAAAUCGAAAAUAAAUUCUUUCAAGAGGAAUCGAUCAAAAAGAAAGAAACAUUAAUCGGGAAUAAAUCGAAAGGAAAAAAAAGUAUGGAGAAAUAUUUCGAAGAAAAAUCGAUCGAGGAGAAUUCGAUUCGAAGGAAAAAAUCGUUUGGAAAAGACUCGACCGAGGAAAUGAUCGAUCGAGAACGUUUCGAUGUAUCGCGCAUCGAAGCGACGGCCGAUGCGCAAACCAGUCACUUUUAUAUCGACGAACUUCGUUCACCGACGCUUAGAAACUAUUUAAAGAAUUUCUUAUGCUCGCUUAUCGCCAGUAAUUAGACUCAUUGCGGUGUUCGGAAGUGGCGAUGGAGGCGGACGCGAAAAACAAGUGUCUUCUCGUUUCGAGUUUAUUAAGAACGGUGAAACGGUCGGGAAAAUAGGUCGUUGCAAGUGGCCGAGCUCGUUUAAUGGCUCACACGUACGCUCGUGUCCCGGAUGCACCUAUCUUUUAGUAUCUUCGCUCUUCGCGUUUCGAAUCGAGUUUUUUCUACCGAGUUAGUUAGUUUAUUGCCAGAUUCCUUCGAAAUCGCGGCCGGUUGUUAGUGGUGGGCAGCGAUACGAACGAAGAGUUAUCGGCAAAGCGGUGAAGUUGCACCUUAACGAUUAGCUUUGGGUUAAGAGUAAGCGUAAAAGCUUCGCUUGGAGACAACCGACGGCCCUUGGAGUGGAAAAAAUAUUGCAUAACUCGUCACGUUCAAGUACGGUUAAAAAGAAUAAGUGUCGCGUUGUUAUUUCGAAGAUUAACGUUUUCCUAACCUUCUCGGGUUGCAACUCUCUUUUCUGAUAUUCCAAUAAUUCUCAAUAAUUUAUGACCGUGUUCCUCGUACGAGGUAAGGAAAAUCGACACCGUUUUAUCAUUGCCUUUUUUUAAAUAUCUAAGAUAAUCGUCCCGAUAGCAAUAAUAGUAGUUAAAACAAAAAACAAAAAGAAAAACACUGACUCAUCAGUACUCGAGCGGAUUGGGAACCACUGGUCUAAACCAAGCCAGAAUUUUCCAAUUUCAAUUACUUUUAAGAAUCUUUCAGCCAACAUUCUCAAGUAAAUAUACUUUUUUCUUUUUUUUCUUUUUCCAUAACGAUCCCUAUACGACCGUCUCCGCGAAGCGAACGAGAUCUCGAUCUCGCGCGCAUACGAAAUAACGAGGCGUGCUCGUAAAUAUCAGAAGCGACGACCGUACACCCGCGUUUCCACGCGUAUGCACGAUCCCGCGUACACGCGCAAAUCCAGCCAACGAAUCUCUUCCGUUUGCCUCUUAAUCGAGGAGCACCGAUUUGAAUCGACUAGAAUCCGAAUCGAGUUUCUCCUCUCGCGAUUCUAGUUUCUUACGAUGACUCGUUGCGAUUAUUGUUAUUAUUAUUAUUAUUAUUUCUAAAUGAUCGAGCUUUAUUUUUUCUUUCCUUUUUUUUUACUUGUCCACGCGUCACAUUGUCGUCGUGAUAUAUACACAGCGUGACUUUUUCUUUUUCUUAUUCUUUUUGUCCACCAUUGUGUACACGAGGGAGAGAAAUCGACUCUUCCUUUUUUCGAGCAAUAAAGCGUUGAAACUGGGCACCGAGUUGGGUGUCGAGUCGUCGUUUGUUCCGUACGAACAGUAUUCUAAAAUGAAAUGGAUCGAUUCUGGCGCCCUCUGGUUCGUAUUCUUCGACGAGACGUACAUGCUUCACAUUCGCGGUUAGUGACAAUGUGACGCGUAACGAGGAUACGUAACAAGUGUAAACCCACCUUUAGAUGGAGACGCGCGUGAAAAAAAGGGGGAGGGGGAAAAAGAGAAAGGGACGAAUGAAAAACGAGCGCGAUCCGCGACACCUGGUUUACCUACUUACGCCUACUUUGGGCAACUCCUCGUCAAAAGUGCACGCAAGUUUCCCUUGCGUCGACGCAGAGAAACGAGCGGAAAAACGGAAAGCGUGAUUGGCUUACGCGGGGAUACCGUUGAUAAGAGACAAGAGCGGUUCCUCGCCGCGAUUUAAAUAUUUAUGAAUUAUAGAGUGGCUCGCCUUGUAGUUGGGAAAUUUUUGCGAACCGGGUGUAUGAACCGGGAAGCGUGUAUGGCUUCACCCCUACCUCUAUCUUUCCUAUUCAUUGCAUGACUCUAAAGGAGAUUUAUGCAUCCAGCCUCGAGCGGCCGAGAGAAAAGUUCACGACUCGCAGGCAUUCCCGCGUUUCCAGCUAGGACAGAGUGUCGGUGAGCAUCCUGGCAUCGAGAAUCCUAUUUUUUUUAUGACGAGGAAUCGUCUUCGCGCAAAGAUCGAUCGAGUCGAGGAGAAUUUCUCUUGGAAUUUAAUCCAAACAUAACCUAAUUUAAUCUAACGAAAAAUACAAAUAUGUAUUAUUUUUAUUCGUUUAAUUGGAAUCAUCUUGCGAUGAGAUCGAUUCAAAUGCCGGUUCGAAAAGAAUUUAGUUCAAACAUAACCUAACUUAAUCGAAAAAUACAAAUAUGCAUUAUUUUUAUUCGUUUAAUUGGAAUCAUCUUGCGAUUCAAAUGCCGGUUCGAAAAGAAUUUAGUUCAAACAUAACCUAACUUAAUCGAAAAAUACAAAUAUGCAUUAUUUUUAUUCGUUUAAUUGGAAUCAUCUUGCGAUGAGAUCGAUUCAAAUGCCGGUUCGAAAAGAAUUUAGUUCAAACAUAACCUAACUUAAUAUAACCUAGCGAAAAAUAUAUUAUUUUUAUUCGUUUAAUUAAGAUUGGAAUCAUCUUUGCAAUGAGAUCGAUUCAAAUGCCGGUUCGAAAAGAAUUUAGUUCAAACAUAACCUAACUUAAUCGAAAAAUACAAAUAUGCAUUAUUUUUAUUCGUUUAAUUGGAAUCAUCUUGCGAUGAGAUCGAUUCAAAUGCCGAUUCGAAAAGAAUUUAGACCAAACAUAACUUAAUUUAAUAUAAUCCCAGGAAAAAUGGAAAUAUAAAUCUUUGAGAGAUGCGAGAUCAUCUUUGCGAUAAGAUCAGAUUCAAGGAGAAUUUAGAUCUACCGUAAUCUACGUUAACACAAUCUUGCGAGAAAUCUAAAUAUCAUUUUUACAUCGAGAUUGGAAGCGGAAUCAUUCUCGAUCGAUUUAAAUACCGAUAUUCGAGAAAAAUUUCUUCUGGAAUUUGAACAUCCGUGGUUGGUCGUAAAACGUGUCGCCGGUUCAUUCCUCCGCAUAGAGACCGUUCGGCUCUCGACUUCCGGUUUUAUUGUGGAACACGACUUUCCAAUAAGGUCGUCGCCUGCAUUUUUCGUCCCGCGUAGGUAUAUAGGUCUUUGAAACACCGAGUUCAGGUACGUGAACGCUUUCGACGCAACCUGUCUCCUCUUAUCUUCGCCACGAUAUCUUUGUCCUCCGUUUCCUGCAUACCCGUGAAACCGAUUCGAGCGAACCUUCCGUUCCGCCGAUUCGCAUAUCCAUCCAUUUCCCGCAUAUAUGUGUCAAAGAGUCGGAGAUGGAAGCGCCAUUUUACUUGAAACCACCAUUGCAGUUUCGUCUUUCGUUUCAUCCCCGAAUCUAUUAUUCGAGGAAACAGCCGGCCGACUGUUGCCAGUAUCCAUUAUAUCCACCCGUCCUGUCGUUAGUUCCCCCAUCAAACGAGAAAGCCCAUCGAUAGCAGGGGGUCGUCCGUUUAUAGCCUUCCAACGCCAUCAUCCCUACCACCGACGAGUGGCAUACACGUACGCCCUUUCGCUUCGUUCUUCUUCGGAGAACACUCGAGGAUCCAUUGCCCGUUCCUCUUGCCAACUUUCUUUCGCGCGUUUUUUCACCUUUUCCCUAUCACCGUAUAUCGGGUCCUCUCCAAAAUACUCGAAAAAUAUCGAAAUGCUCGCCGCCAGAUUGUCGCCUCGAGCGGCCGUCCAGUAUAGGAGUCCGGGGCUAAUUAUAAUAUAAAACUUGCCGCGCCUUGUCGCCUUUCGUGUUCCUCCGCGAUUCCUUUUCCUGUCUGUUUCCCUCGGGAACAAGGUUGCACCGCUCGUCGCGGCGCAGACGUUCCCAACCGUUCGUCUCGAUCGGUCGCAACGAGCUCGAUCGAUCAGCUUACGACCGCUGCGCGAAUCGAACCACUCUGUUUUCGUUGUUGGAUCGAGACUAGCGAAGCUAGAUACGCGUAUAAAAUAAUGGCCACGGAAUUCUGUCGAGAUGCACGAGUCUUUGGGGAUCCGAGAACGUGAGAGGAUGCUCGGUUUCGGUUGAGAAACACGGUCGGUGUAUCGGCAGGCCGUUGUCUCUAUACUCCUCGAGGGCGCUCGAUCAACGCACUAACACUCUCCAACUGAUCCGAUCCGAUGCACGCACGCUCGCUCGCAAACGGCACACACAGACGCGCACACAAGCUCGAGCAGCCGCCUGACCAGCCAGCCAUCCACCCAACCAGCCAUCCGACCAGCCAGUCGGCCCAACAGCCGCAUAAUACACACGCCAUAAUACGCGCGCCUCGCAUUAGACCUCGGUUAAACGCGGCUGCUGAAAACUUUGCGACCGACGUCUCGUCGUUCUUUUUCCACUCGCCCUCUCCUAUGCUAGUAUUCGCUAUUCGUUAUUCGUGAACUCGACCUCUUUUCGUCGAUACGUUCUCGGGAGUAAUCCCCACUACCAAAGGGAACCCCUCGUUGAAACCAGCGAAGCGAGUAAUUCUAAUUUCUUCAAACGCUUUUUUCGACUCCUCUCUUUCCAUCUUUUUCUUUCCAACGCUAGCUGUCACACUCUGCGUGGUUAUUGGCAAAGAUAAAACUAGACUCGGAAAUUAAUAUAUUUUCGUGUCUCUAAGAGCUAAUAUAUGCUCGAUCUCGAGUUGUGAACUUAUAAUGAAUAUAAAUUCCGUAUACAUUACGGAUAAGUUAAAAGAGUGAAUAAAAGCUAACAUUAUCGGGGUAAACCUAUGAUUAUCAAUGAUUCACGAGCAAAGUUUGAAAUAUAUAUUAUUAUCGCGGUCUGGACAGCCGCAUUUUAUUCUAACCUAACUCUAUACAAACUCAUUGAGAAAUACCGAGUAUCGUAUGUCCUAGAUUUAACCACUCUGUCAGCCUCAUCCGCUCUUUUAAUCUUACCUUACGUUGCAGCCCAUCGUUAUAUCUAUCGGAUAUGAAAAAGUGGCGAAUUCAAGUUUGUUCGAUUCAUUCCCGUGUAGUAAACAAAUAAAACUGUCUUUAAAAGAGAAAUCCAAGAGAAAUCGAAUAAAGCGAGAAAGGAA